UACGUAGGUGGCAAGCGUUGUCCGGAUUUACUGGGCGUAAAGGAUGCGUAGGCGGAUAUUUAAGUGGGAUGUGAAAUACCCGGGCUCAACUUGGGUGCUGCAUUCCAAACUGGAUAUCUAGAGUGUGGGAGAGGAAAAUGGAAUUCCUAGUGUAGCGGUGAAAUGCGUAGAGAUUAGGAGGAACACCGGUGGCGAAGGCGGCGACCUGGUCCAAUAUUGACACUCAUACACGAAAGCGUGGGGAUCAAACAGG
rnacentral:rRNA from 1 species